CCUACGGGUGGCAGCAGUGAGGAAUAUUGGUCAAUGGACGAGAGUCUGAACCAGCCAAGUAGCGUGAAGGAUGACUGCCCUAUGGGUUGUAAACUUCUUUUAUAAAGGAAUAAAACGAGGCACGUGUGCCUUUUUGCAUGUACUUUAUGAAUAAGGAUCGGCUAACUCCGUGCCAGCAGCCGCGGUAAUACGGAGGAUCCGAGCGUUAUCCGGAUUUAUUGGGUUUAAAGGGAGCGUAGAUGGGUUGUUAAGUCAGUUGUGAAAGUUUGCGGCUCAACCGUAAAAUUGCAAUUGAUACUGGCAGUCGUGAGUACAGUUGAGGUAAGCGGAAUUCGUGGUGUAGCGGUGAAAUGCUUAGAUAGCACGAAGAACCCCGAUUGCGAAGGCAGCUUACUAAACUGUGACUGACAUUGAUGCUCGAAAGUGUGGGUAUCAAACAGGAUUAGAUACCCUUGUAGUC
rnacentral:rRNA from 1 species